UUUAUUGCUAAUUUUAAAGUUCCAAAAAACAGGAACUUUUUUUUAUCCAAGAUGAGGUAGUACUGAGAAAAGCGUAAAUUAAACUCAUAGGUGUCUGCACACUAUAAUGCCAAUUAAUUAAUUUAUAAUGGGAAAUAUAUGGGGCCUGUCAGAAAUCUGUGACUGAUCCCUGCAAAGGCCACAUCUUUGCUGAUCUGUAGGUCCAUUUAUGAAACUUAAAUUAGAAUUCAGAGUUCAGACAAUUCACUUGGCUAUUGGGAGACCAAAAGAAAGGGAUAUUUUAUUUAGACUAAAGGGGAGGGAACUAAAUUAUUCAAGACAUUUUUGGCAGGAAAUGAUAGAAAUCUCUGACCCCAAAUUAGCUUAAACAAGGUCCUUAUGGGUUUAAUUAGAUUUCCAGAACUAGGGCUGGCUCUGGAGUUGGUUGAUUUACUGGAUCAAUGAUGUCAGUAAGAACUUAGGUUUUAUCUUUUUCCCUUCUCUGCUGUCACUGUUGAAUUCAUCAGGGGCUGCUUCCCCUUGUGAUUAGAAUCACUGAUUGGUAACUACAUACUUCCUCGUUCAUUUGAAAUUGGGAGAGAGGAGGAGAGGGGUGUUUUGAAUUUGAUAACUAGCUUUGAAAUUCCAGAAAAAGAAGUGUCAUCUCACUGAAUUCCAGAAAAAGGAAUGUCAUCUCACUCGUUGAGGUGGUCCAGAUAAACCAACAAACCAACCAACCCAGAUGUAACUCAAUUAAACUCAUGGGAGAUGGUAAGCUGAUUGGGCCAACUCAAGUCACAUGCCCAUAGGCCAGUAACAGUUGUCAGGGAAAAGGUUAAAAGCUACUGUUAGGUUUAGUUUAAUCAUCUGUGGGGAGGAAUAACAUUGGGGAAUCAACCAGUAUUACAGUAAACCUGAAUGAAUGCUCUUUUUUUCUUUGCUCUGGAGCUAUGUUUACUUAAAGAAACAUGGUGUAAAGUCAAAACAACCUCUCCCAUGAAUAGACAUGGAUAAAUAAAUAUUGGCACCUUCUGCUUUUGUUCAUGUUCUAUGUGUGUUUGUUCCAUAUGUGUAUCAAUUACUACAUGAUUAUUAGCUAGUAGGUUCAGUAAGAGUGCUUUAUCAGUGCCACUGGUUCAACUCCUGUGUGUUAACUGGAUUUUCUCUGUUUCAGGAUUGCAGAUCAAAUUGCUCUGUUGCUAAUGUUUGUCUUUAGCAUUACAAGAAGACUGGGUGAGAAGAUAUUGAUGGAUUAGUAAUAGGAUUACCUAUUACUGCUAAUUAGGUGGCUAUCAUCUUAAACAGAUAAAGGGCUCCUUGGAGUGUACUUUACUUUGUAUUGCAAAGCCUAUAGAAUUACUUGGGAUUGGUUGCCGUAUCUCACUGGAGCUGUUAGCCAGAGAUUUAUUUAUGAAUAUAUAGGGGUAUAUCAUGGAAUUCAAAAGCAAAGAGGCAAAUUGGCUCAGGAAGGAGCUGAAACUAGCACUACACCUUUACCAGAACUCCAUUUCUCUUCUCUGCUGCUUUCUGUGCAUCUUCAUUCCUUUUAUUGUGGACUGACUUUUGUUUGAUCUCUGUUCAUGUGAUUUAAAUUUUGACUAUUUCCCCAGGUCACAUAUUACUAGGCCAGAGUCUUAGGAAGAGGCUGAAUCAAAACACUCUCUUGGUCUAUAUUUCAAAUUCCCAGGGAAUUUUGUGACUGCAUGCGAUCUCAUCAACAAAGAUGACUCUUAGGAUCUUAUGAACUUAAGGAAAAAAGCAAAUCCUAGUGAAGAGAUGAGCUAGACAGACAGUCUCAUAGAUCUUAUUGAGCUGACUUAUGGAAAACUGCUCAAGAAAUUUUCAUUCCUAUAUUGAUAUGUGAUAACAGUUCCCUUUCUGCACAAAAUCAGUGACUUAUUUUCUUGUGUAGGGGGAAAGUACAGAACUAGGAGUCAGAUUUUGGAUUAAGUCCUCACCCAGCCAUUUUUAUUGUAUAGUAUUAAGCAAGAAUGGUUAUUUCUGGUCUAGAUUUCAUCAUCUUUAAAGUGAAAGACUUGAACUCUUCUGAGUAGAGUCUUUUUAAUAUCCCUCCGAGCUCUAAAGUGAUAUAAUAUAAGGAACUAUGUUGGAAGAAGAAAUGUUGCAUCUGGUAGAACCAACAAAGUGAAAUCCCAAAUUCUGGGACUGGUACUUACAAAGAUUUUUACUUUGUGGUGUACAGAAAGCAUUAGAGAAGAGAAAUGGAGAAGUUCUAAGGAAGGUAGUUUUUAUUUUUGUUUUUGUUUUGUUUUGUUUUUUUGCUAAAAUAAUUCAGUGGUAUUCUUCCUAAAACUGGACUAAGCAGGCCAAGACCAGUGCCCAAAGUCAGGGCCUAAUUGGGAAGAGGGCUCAGAGGAGCCUGACUCUGAUUUGGUGAGAGUCUUUAUCACUCCUUGGUAAGUAAUUACAACUUUUUGCUUCAGAUGCAGCUUCCUUAGAUGCAUUCAUACACAUCCAGUUAGUCCUCAGCAAAGUCGACUGUCCACCAGGGCCUUCUGUUCGUGGUGCUUUGGAAAAUACAGGAAGAAGGAACGUACAGCAUAUGGUGAAGUGGCACAGAUGACAGUCGCUUUAGGAGGACAGCUGACCCAUGGGAUGCUUCAAAAAAAAAUUCAGCAGGAGUA